UACGAAGGGGGGCUAGCGUUGCUCGGAAUUACUGGGCGUAAAGCGCACGUAGGCGGCUUUGUAAGUUAGAGGUGAAAGCCCAGGGCUUAACCCUGGAAUUGCCUUUAAGACUGCAUCGCUAGAAUCGUGGAGAGGUGAGUGGAAUUCCGAGUGUAGAGGUGAAAUUCGUAGAUAUCGGGAGGAACACCGGCGGCGAAGGCGGCGAUCU
rnacentral:rRNA from 1 species